ACUGCUCAGUAACACGUGGACAACCUGCCCUUUAGGUUGGGUAUAAACCCGGGAAACUGGGUAUAAUACCCGAUAGGUCUCGAUUGCUGGAAUGCAUCGAGAUUUAAAGCUCCGGCGCCUAAGGAUGGGUCUGCGGCCUAUCAGGUAGUAGUGGGUGUAGCGUACCUACUAGCCUACGACGGGUACGGGUUGUGAGAGCAAGAGCCCGGAGAUGGAUUCUGAGACACGAAUCCAGGCCCUACGGGGUGCAGCAGGCGCGAAAAUUUUACAAUGCUGGCAACAGCGAUAAGGGAACCUCGAGUGCCAGGUUACAAAUCUGGCUGUCGAGAUGCCUAAAAAGCAUUUCAUAGCAAGGGCCGGGCAAGACCGGUGCCAGCCGCCGCGGUAACACCGGCGGCUCGAGUGGUAACCGUUAUUAUUGGGUCUAAAGGGUCUGUAGCCGGCCGGAUAAGUCUCUUGAGAAAUCUGGCAGCUUAACUGUCAGGCUUUCAGGAGAUACUGUCUGGCUCGAGGCCGGGAGAGGUGAGAGGUACUUCAGGGGUAGGGGUGAAAUCUUGUAAUCCUUGAAGGACCACCAGUGGCGAAGGCGUCUCACCAGAACGGACCUGACGGCAAGGGACGAAAGCUAGGGGCACGAACCGGAUUAGAUACCCGGGUAGUCCUAGCCGUAAACGAUACUCGCUAGGUGUCGGCCACGGUGCGACCGUUGUCGGUGCCGUAGGGAAGCCGUGAAGCGAGCCACCUGGGAAGUACGGCCGCAAGGCUGAAACUUAAAGGAAUUGGCGGGGGAGCAC
rnacentral:rRNA from 1 species